rnacentral:lncRNA from 1 species
GCUCAUCUGUUUCAGUAAACAGUGUCUACUUUGUGUGCUAAUAUCCCACCAGAGGACACCCUUCAGUAUUUCAAACAGAAACUAGCCAUUAAAUAAACACUCAUUCCUAUUGGUUUAUUUUGCUUGAGAGGGGAGCUCCAAAGAGUUGAACGAAGAAUCGAGAAUCGUCCCCUCCCCAAAUACAAGCCAGAUGCUGUUAUGGCUGACUUCGAGACGCGCACGCCCGCACUUCUGGGUCUAGUUUUCACCUAUGCCCGGUUGUUUAAAAAAAAAAAAAAAAAAAAAAAAAAAAAAA